rnacentral:rRNA from 1 species
UAGGCAUGCAAGUCGAACGAGAAGCUCUAGUUUGAAGCUUCGGUUGAUUACUAGAGUGGACAGUGGCGAAAGGGAGAGUAACGAGUAGAUUACGUACCCAGGGGUUCAGGAUAGCGGGGGGAAACCGCCGGUAAUACUGAAUAAUGUUUCCGAACCAAAGAUUUAUCGCCCUUGGAUCGGUCUGCUUACUAUUAGCUUGUUGGUGGGGUAAAAGCCCACCAAGGCUAAGAUGGUUAGCGGGUGUGAGAGCAUGGCCCGUCUCACUGGGACUGAGACACUGCCCAGACACCUACGGGUGGCUGCAGUCGAGAAUCUUCCGCAAUGGACGAAAGUCUGACGGAGCGACGCCGCGUGCGGGACGAAGGCCUUCGGGUUGUAAACCGCUGUCAGAGGGGAGCAAAUUUUGAGCAAUCCUCAGAGGAAGCACAGGCUAAGUUCGUGCCAGCAGCCGCGGUAAUACGAACUGUGCAAACGUUAUUCGGAAUCACUGGGCUUAAAGGGUGCGUAGGCGGCAACGUAGGUCAGGUGUGAAAUCCCACGGCUCAACCGUGGAACUGCGCUUGAAACCACGUAGCUUGAGGGAGAUAGAGGAGAGCGGAACUGAUGGUGGGAGCGGUGAAAUGCGUUGAUAUCAUCAGGAACACCGGUGGCGAA